rnacentral:rRNA from 1 species
GUGGGGAAUCUUGCGCAAUGGGCGAAAGCCUGACGCAGCCAUGCCGCGUGAAUGAUGAAGGUCUUAGGAUUGUAAAAUUCUUUCACCGGGGACGAUAAUGACGGUACCCGGAGAAGAAGCUCCGGCUAACUUCGUGCCAGCAGCCGCGGUAAUACGAAGGGGGCUAGCGUUGCUCGGAAUUACUGGGCGUAAAGGGCGCGUAGGCGGACAGCUUAGUCAGAGGUGAAAGCCCAGGGCUCAACCUUGGAAUUGCCUUUGAUACUGGCUGUCUUGAGUUUGGGAGGGGUGAGUGGAACUCCGAGUGUAGAGGUGAAAUUCGUAGAUAUUCGGAAGAACACCAGUGGCGAAGGCGACUCACUGGCCCAAUACUGACGCUGAGGCGCGAAAGCGUGGGGAGCAAACAGGAUUAGAUACCCGGGUAGUCC